AGAGUUUGAUCCUGGCUCAGGAUGAACGCUGGCGGCACGUCUGACACAUGCAAGUCGAACGGGAUCCGGGACUUCGGUCCCGGUGGGAGUGGCGAACGGCUGAGUAACACGUGGGAACUUACCCUCCGGACCGGGAUACCCCUGCGAAAGCGGGGCUAAUACCGGAUAUCACCUUCGGGUUGAAACGGUCCGCCGCCGGGGGAGAGGCCCGCGGCCUAUUAGCUUGCUGGUGGGGUAAUGGCCUACCAGGGCGACGAUGGGUAGCUGGUCUGAGAGGACGAUCAGCCAGACUGGGACUGUGACACGGCCCAGACUCCUACGGGAGGCAGCAGUUCAGAAUCUUGCGCAAUGGGCGAAAGCCUGACGCAGCGAUGCCGCGUGCGGGAAGAAGGCCUUCGGGUUGUAAACCGCUGUCAGGGGGAACGAANAA
rnacentral:rRNA from 1 species